UUACGAUCAAAUCACGCUGAAACACCGGUUCUCGUACGAUCACCGAAGUUAAGCAUCGUAGAGCCAGGUCAGAUGGGGGACCGCUUGGGAACACCUGGUACUGUAAG